CGGGAAUCUUCGGCAAUGGACGAAAGUCUGACCGAGCAACGCCGCGUGAGUGAAGAAGGUUUUCGGAUCGUAAAACUCUGUUGUUAGAGAAGAACAAGGAUGAGAGUAAAAUGUUCAUCCCUUGACGGUAUCUAACCAGAAAGCCACGGCUAACUACGUGCCAGCAGCCGCGGUAAUACGUAGGUGGCAAGCGUUGUCCGGAUUUAUUGGGCGUAAAGCGAGCGCAGGCGGUUUCUUAAGUCUGAUGUGAAAGCCCCCGGCUCAACCGGGGAGGGUCAUUGGAAACUGGGAGACUUGAGUGCAGAAGAGGAGAGUGGAAUUCCAUGUGUAGCGGUGAAAUGCGUAGAUAUAUGGAGGAACACCAGUGGCGAAGGCGGCUCUCUGGUCUGUAACUGACGCUGAGGCUCGAAAGCGUGGGGAGCGAAC
rnacentral:rRNA from 1 species